rnacentral:siRNA from 1 species
GGUUGUGUACUGAUGGGUUCAA